UUGAAUUCUGUCCAGUACUAAAACCGUUUUGUAUGCACUAUCAUCAGAAUGGUAUUCAAAUGGACUACAGUAAAUUUUGGUUUCUCUUCCUCUGAGUUUUGCACUUAAAAUAUCCUUUGUGCCUCACUCAUAAAUGAGAAACUACAGUUGCUUACU